rnacentral:rRNA from 2 species
UGCGACCUCAGGUCAGGCG